GACGAACGCUGGCGGCGUGCCUAAUACAUGCAAGUAGAACGCACAGUUUAUACCGUAGCUUGCUACACCAUAGACUGUGAGUUGCGAACGGGUGAGUAACGCGUAGGUAACCUGCCUGGUAGCGGGGGAUAACUAUUGGAAACGAUAGCUAAUACCGCAUAAUAUUAAUUAUUGCAUGAUAAUUAAUUGAAAGGUGCAAUUGCACCACUACCAGAUGGACCUGCGUUGUAUUAGCUAGUAGGUGAGGUAACGGCUCACCUAGGCGACGAUACAUAGCCGACCUGAGAGGGUGAGCGGCCACACUGGGACGGAGACACGGCCCAGACUACUACGGGAGGCAGCAGGAGGGAAUCUUCGGCAAUGGACGAAAGGCUGAACGAGCAACGCCGCGUGAGUGAAGAAGGGUUUCGGAUCGUAAAGCUCUGUUGUAAGAGAAGAACGGGUGUGAGAGUGGAAAGUUCACACUGUGACGGUAUCUUACCAGAAAGGGACGGCUAACUACGUG
rnacentral:rRNA from 1 species